AUACACCUUUUCCAACAACAAUCACGCCCACUGAAAUCAUAGCCGAUGAGCUAGAGCUGCGGCUGACCGACGGGCCAAACCGCUGUGCAGGCAAUGUGGAAAUCGACUAUUUUGGAAUGAACGUGAAAGUGUGUGGUUUCCUGUGGGACAUGGACGAUGCUCAGGUUGUGUGCAGGCAGCUUGACUGCGGCUCGCCUGUCAGCGUGAUGGACUAUUUCCCCUCAA